AGGGUUAGGCAGCCGUACUCACCUCCAGACUUCCCGUUCCGGUUCUCGGGUUCGGCGAGCCGUUGUAGCUAUGGAGGAACCGGAGAUGCAACUCAAGGGGAAGAAAGUCACGGACAAGUUCACUGAGAGCGUCUAUGUUCUGGCCAAUGAGCCAUCUGUGGCCCUGUACCGGCUGCAGGAACACGUGCGCCGCUCUCUGCCAGAGCUGGCUCAGCAUAAGGCUGACAUGCAGCGGUGGGAGGAGCAGAGCCAGGGAGCCAUCUACACAGUGGAGUAUGCCUGCAGGUGAGCGCUGCAACCUCCCCG